UCGGGUCUGAACCGGAAGACCUCCGGGUGCACACGUGAGCAGCCCGUCCUGCCCCCGGCUGGGCCCCGAGCCUCGUCCCUCCCCGUCCCGCCUCUGGGUCCUCCCACUACCCCCACGUGGCCUGAGGCUCGGUGCAGCCAGAGCCCGCCCCGCUCCCCCAGCCCGGGUCUGGCCUGCGGCGGCUGGCUAAGGAAAUGGCCGCUGCCCGGGACAGCAGCUUUCGGGGUUUCCUCCGGCAAAAGCAGAGGGAACUCAGGACAAGGAUACGCAGGUCAGGGACCCGGCCUCCCCGCACUUCGGCCAGGGGGAAGGUGAUGGGGGCCUCUCCCCUGCAGGGGGGCUAGAUGGAUCAAACCUCAGCGGGGGCGGCAAGGUGCCAGCGGUCGCGUCGGAGAGCUCCUUCAUCCACACGAGGCACGGUGUCCACGCCUGUCCCUGCGGGCGGCCCAGGACCAGGCACCCAGGGAUUGGGGCACCGCGGGGCGGAGGCCCCAAGCACAGAAAUGCUGUGUCCACGAACCCUUCGGUGCCCCAGGCGGGGCUGGGGUUCUACUCCACGUCCACGCGGAAACGGCUCUGUGAAGAGGACGCCACAGGACCCACCAGAGAAGGAGAAGGCCUGCUGGCCAAGCCGUCCUGCCCAUGACCCAGAAGACGGGGGACACGGACUCCACGCUGGCUCCCGGCAGCGCCCCGGUGACAGAGCUCCACGAGAUUCCCGGGGACCGUGCCUGCCCACGUGUGGAUCCUGACUGCGGUGUCAGAAAGGACCCCACACCCUGGCCACGUGUAAGGAGAGAACCCCUGACAAAGCUGCCUGCUUCCUAGGCUCAGGGCACUUGCUAAGACCCCGUGGCGUCGCCUGAGCCACCCGGGAGCUGCAGGGACUGGUGAGCGGGCCCCCGCCGGCGGCACGAGGGUGACCCGGAGGUGCCCACGCCCCUCACCUCACUCUCAUGAACGGGUUGUAGGUGAACUCCUCCGCGAUGGUGGACGGCACUGUGGGCUCCCCGAUACCAUACUUCUCCUGCAGAGGACAGAGGUCACGUGAACACGGAAACGUCUAAAGGAACAUUUCAGAGUACUUUCUAAUCUUAAAAUACCAUCCAACUCAGAAGGCAAAGGGAACGGGGUCAGGUCAGUGCAAGGACGGGCCCCUUCCCGCUGUGGAGACGCGAGUGUCCCGGCCACCACCGACAAGUUGUCCCUUCUCCCCUUGCUGUCCUGGAAGUGGAGGGGGACGCGAAAACUUUUACGCUGAUAUGAAGUGUGUGUUUUACAUGAUAAAAAUAACCAGCAAAAACGCAGAAAACGCAGAAGAAAACACCACCAGCCCUGCACCAAGACCAGUCAUGGGCCAUGCACAGCUCACUGCUUGCAAGAGCGAGGUGACAGGUGCCCGUGGUCCCUGCCCUGGGCUCACAGCCCCUCUAGAAGGCGGCAAGCUCUCGUCACAGGCUCCCCAGAAGAAAAACCCAGGACGAGCCCUCCGGUCGGGAUGGUUUCACUCCUGAUCAGCACCAUCUGGCCCACUGGUCACUCCUGUACGGACCUGUGCGGGACGUCAGCUGGCAGCUGGGGGUCUCCGCCCUCCCUGCGGCCCCUGACCUUCUGCCGGGCU